GCUGUCUAUAGUAAAAGACACUGUGUUAGUUCUUAGAUGGUGGGACCAACUUGUGAAAGCCACUGACGGUACAAACAAGGUUUCAUGGCAGACUACAACCCAAAAAGGUGUAUUGCCAACUGGACGGGGUUGAAAAAACAAGGCUCUAGAGACUGAGAGGGUGGUACGGCUUGUGACAAUACUCCAUGCAACUCCUCCGCUGAGAAGUCUUUCAGUCCGAGGAACCGCUCCGCCACAGCCAUGUCUCUCUUUCUCUUUCUUUCUCUCUUCUUUCAGAGGACCUGAGCCCUAGGACCAUGCCUCAGUACUACCUGGCCUGAGGACUCCUUGCUGUCCCCAGUCCACCUGGUCAUGCUGCUGCUCCAGUUUCAACUGUUCUGCCUGCGGCUAUGGAACCCUGACCUGUUCACUGGACAUGCUACCUUGUCCCGGACCUGCUGUUUUGGACUCUCUCUCUACCACACCUGCUGUCUCUAACUCAGAAUGAUCGACUAUGAAAACCCAACUGACAUUUACUCCUGAGGUGCUGACCUGUUGCACCCUCUACAACCACUGUGAUUAUUAUUAUCUGACCCUGCUGGUCAUCUAUGAACAUUUGAACAUCUUGGCCAUGUUCUGUUAUAAUCUCCACCCGGCACAGCCAGAAGAGGUGUUACGGCUGAUUUCCUCCUCUUCGUCUGAAGAGCAGGGAUCGGACCAAAACGCAGCGUGGUUAUCUUCAUACAUCUUUAAUAAAGAUAAUGACAAACAAUACAAAAACGUGAAAAACUGAAACAGCCCUAUCUGGUGCAAACAAACACAGAGACAGGAACAAUCACCCACAAAACACUCAAAGAAUAUGGCUACCUAAAUAUGGUUCCCAAUCAGAGACAACGAUAAACACCUGCCUCUGAUUGAGAACCACUCCAGGCAACCAUAGACUUUUCUAGACUACUAUACUAAACAAUCCCAUAACCUACAAAAACCCCUAGACACAACACACCACAUAAAUACCCAUGUCACACCCUGGCCUGACCAAAAUAAUAAAGAAAACACAAAAUACUAAGACCAGGGCGUGACAAGAGGACUGGCCACCCCUCAGAGCCUGGUUCCUCUCUAGGUUUCUUCCUAGGUUCUGGCCUUUCUAUUGAGUUUUUCCUAGCCACCGUGCUUCUACAUCUGCAUUGCUUGCUGUUUGGGGUUUUAGGCUGGGUUUCUGUACAGCACUUUAUGACAUUGGCUGAUGUAAAAAGAGCUUUAUAAAUACAUUUGAUUGAUUGAUUGAUCUGG